AGGAUCUUGUGUUUGUGGCCUCCGCAGCCAGCUUAGGCUGCUCGGUGUCGUGUCGCAGUUAUGUACUGCCAUUUAUUAUGACUCUUAGAAUAUAGUUAUUUCUUACUCUUCCGCUGCCUCCUUUGCUUUUAAAGCCUGUUCUGCCAAGUCUCGCUGGAGAAGGAAACCCCUGAAACUGGUCCUGGUGGUCUCAGACCGCCGCGCGAGCGAAGAGUGGGGAGGACAAAGGUUGGGGAGUUGAGAAGGAUGGAGAUGGGUGCAUCUGGAAGGGAGUCCGUCCUGAGGAGUCCCCCAUCAGCUGUCAGCCAGCCAGCAGCAAAGCAAAUUAAGACUACACAGCUCCGAAGAAGCCAGUUCCCAACCAAGCCAGUGGAGAAAAGUCAGCCCGGUCCCCAGGAGUGCUUGAGGCUCUGUCACUCUUGGACGUCAAAAAGGGUCAUUUGAUGACUGGACGCUUACCUCACCGGUGUGAGGUAAGCUUCAAACGCCGUAUCAUGUUGCUUUAAAACCUGCGGGUAACAGCAUAAGCUGAGUUUUCUAUCUUAGAACUCUUAACCCCAAGAACACUCUUCACAGGCCCUGAUAGGUGGACCCACAAAAAAACCACUCAGGCUAUAUUUGACUCGGAUUUGAAACGCUGCCGAAACGGUAUUAAGUGUCCUCCUCAACUGGAAAAGACAAAUAACAAAUGAUGCCUGAAUGAGAAAAAGACUAGACGUGCACACAGUAAUGUGUGAGCAGGGAAACUUCAGCGAAGGUUUUUAUCAUGCUUUACCCCUUUUACAUGCUUUACCCCAUGUGCAAACAUUUUUCAUGGGUUUUUUUCUAUUUUUUAUUUAUUUUUAUUCUAUUUUUUUAUUUAUACACAAAAAAGUUUCAAUGAUUUUUUAAAGAGUAAUAGUUUUAAUAUGUUACAUUUAAACUUUGACGAUGCAAACAGGUUGUCAAGAGAAGCAACUGAGCAUUGUUUGGUUGGUAAGAAAAUUUAUUAUACUAGAAGCUACCGCAUAAUUCACUGUGCAAUUUGCUUGCCCUAAUUGCCUAAAUAUUUAGUUACAGUUCUGUACACUUGCAAGGAUGAGGGGAAGGGAACUGAAGUUUAGCGUGUCACUGUGGAUCAGGCACUUUCCAAAUGUAGAAGAAAAUGAACAGAAACAUUUCACCUGUUUUGAUGUGGAAAUUUAACCGUUUUGUUUUUCAACCUUUGCUGUUGCAAAGUAUUAAAGUCCUGUGCAGUUUUGCAAAUAUAUCUCACCGCAGAAAGAUCUCCUUUCCUAAGAAGACUGGGAAGAACGGCUUUCCACUUGCCAGUAAUGUGUCCUCUGGUUUCAAUUGAGCCAUCAGUGUCUGUACUCCAGCCUGGGCUACCAAGCGAUACCCCACCUCUGAAAAAAGGGUAGCAAGGGGACAGAGAAGAGCUGUCUGGAUACACGAGAUUCCAAAAACCUAAUCCUGAGAUAAAAUUCCCUAGGGAAUUGCUCUACCGAGAGUAGAGAUUUGACCUGGAAAGAGAAGGGAGAGAAGUAUUUAAUCAUUAACUCUUUUAAUCCUCCCAACAACCUUUUUAGUAUCAUUUUUCAAAUGAGGAAACUGAAAUGUAGAAAGAUUAUGUACACUGUUGAAGGUAACACUAAGCCACUGCCUCCUUCAUAUCAAGAAUAGUUGUUCAUCGAGCAAAUAAAGUGAGGGAAAGACAUUACAAGCAGAGAAAUCAACAUACACACUAUUGUGGCUGGACUUCAGGCUACAGGGUGGUUCCAAAUAUUUAUUGACAAGGCCCUGUGUUACGUGCUGAGGAUACAGAGAUAAAUAAACCAGCUGUCCUAAAGCCGCUGACACUAGUGAGAGAAACCUUAAAAAAAAUACAAUGCAGACUAAAUAAGUGCUGUGAUAGAGGCUAAUGUUCACGGUAUUGGAAAAUGAUAAGAAAACAGCAGCCGGAGAGAAUGUGAGAAAGCCAGUGAAGGUGCUGCUUUAGCAGAGUCCAAAUGUCAAGAGUUAUCCCCUACUAACCCUGAAAUUGUUCUGGGAUAGGGUCUAAAGAAUGAAAUCCAAAGAACAACAGAGAAGAACACCAGAGAAUACUUGGAGAGAGGAAACAAAUUGCUCUAACCAAUGGAGUUUUAAAUGGUCUAGUUUAAAAUAGGUUGAAUUUACCUAGGUGUUAUGAGAACUUAAGAACUUACAUAAGUGGCAUUCAUUGGUAUGGUCAAAGAGGUUAGGUAAGGCUUCUUUGAGGAAGUCACACCAGAAUGGAGAUCCAAAAGAUGAGAAACUGAAAAAGGGAGAGUGGGAAACAGAGGGAAUAUCAUGUGUAAAGCCUUUUUGUCAGAAGGGAACACUGCAAGCCUGAGGGACUGAAAGGAGGCUAUUGUGGCUAGAGCCUAGGUUGCAGGGAGAAAGUGCACCAGUUUGAAGCUGGAGACCAGAUUAAGCAGAGUCUUAUUGGCCAUAUUAAGAACUGUAAUCUUAAGAGAAAAAGGGAGGGGGAGGGCAUUUGACAUGAUUGGAUCUGUGUUUUGAAAAGAUCAUUCCAGCUGCAGUGUGGGAACACAAGCAGAGCCAGCACUGGACUAAUUAAAUCUAUGAGUGGUGUUAGUGUUGGUAGGCAUGCAAGUGGCUUGGGGUAGGAACAAGGAGAUGGACAGAAGUGGGGGAAAUGGAACAAUAGGAAGUAAAGUGGAAGGUCUUGGUGAUGGAUUCAAAUAUCAUGGGGUGGGAUGGGGACUGAGGGAGAGGGAGGAGUCAGAUAACUCAGAAUUUCUAGCAGACCCAGUGGGUGGAUAGUAAUGCCAUCAUUGAGAUAUGGAGGACACUGGAAGAGAGCCAGGUUUGGGGGAAGAGGGUAAUUUCAAUUUGAACACGUUAAGUUUAAGAUAUUUUUGUGACUUCAAGGGAAGAUGUAAACAUUGGAAUCUUUAGGUCUGCAGCACUGGGCUGGAGAAAAAAAUAUAUAUUACCAUUUGCAAUUUUUUGUUUUCUGCAGGGUACUUAUUUUUUCAAAAUACAUAUGUCUUUAUUGUAAAUAAGAUGUUUUGUUUUUAAACAUAUUUAGACGCACUUGAACCCAGGAGCCAGAGGGUUGCAGUGAGCUGAGAUGUCACCAUUGCACUCCAACCUGGGCAACAAGAGCAAAACUCAGUCUCAAAAAAUAAAUAAAAAUAUAUUGAGAACAGAAUUUUAAACUAGAGCAGUUUCCCAGACUUCUCUGAGAGUCACCAGUGUCCCUUAUCAAAAACUCAAAUUCUCAGGCCCAUCCCCUAGAGAUUCUGAUUUCACUUGUCUGGUAUAGGGGGCCUGGAAAUGUGGAUUUUUUGACAAAUGCCACUGGAGAUUCUUCUUAUUGCUGAGUUUCUCUGGGAAGUGGUAUGCCAGUGCCAGAGGCUACCUGCAUAAGAGUCACCACAGUGCUUAUUGAAAUAUAGAUUCUCGGGCCCUGCAGACUAAAUCUAUAGGGAUAGAAGGGUUGUGAGGAAUGGAAAAAGGAACAUGGUACCAUGUCAGGUGGUCCAAGACCUCACCCUUCAUCUUUGACAGAGAUGUUCUGCGCGUCCCACUGGGCAGCCCAGAGGAAAGUGGAUGUCCCUUGCUGGGUGAUGCGUAUUUAGGCAGCAGGCAGCCCUCACAGUCUGCAAUGAUAACAGCUCUUAACCUAGGCCUUCUGCCCUGUCCACUGACAUGGCACUCAGCCCACUUAGAUAGUCUCUUUUUCCACCAUUCUUAUCAAGGCCCAUUGUUCCCUCCUGGCCCCCAAAUCUUUUUCAAUGUUAUUUCCAGCACCCUGUCUUUUUACUCCUGGUUCAGGUGUUUUUCAGCCAAUCUCUGUGGCCAGAGCUGGGAGAGAAAUUGGGUCAAAUGCUAUGUUUCAGUCUUGACAAGGCUUUUUUGUUCUUGAGAACCGACUUUGGAAGUGUUUUUAAAGACUGAGCUGUGUCAGGGAGGAAAAACUUUUCCUCUGCGCUCUCUUGUUUCCUCUUUGGGGGCCUGCAAAUUAAAACAACAAAGAUAGCAAGAGAAAAAAGACAUUUAAUUACAUAUGUACACACACACAGAGAGAGGGAGAAAGAAAGAGAAAUUCACAAAUAACUGACCCUAGGUGGUUAGAAUUUAGAGCUUAUAUACCAUCUUAAUAGGGGACAAAGAAGGGCAGAGAGGCCCUUCUAGGAGAGUAAAUGACUUCUUCAAAGGAAGUGAGGGAGAGACAAAGCAUUUAGAGAAAACAAAACACUUUUUGGAAAGAUAAAUGGACUUUUAGGAGAAUAGAUGGAAGAUACGAUAGUUUUGUAGCAAUGUCUGGGUGUGGUGCAGAUGUCUCCUCAGAGAAGAAAAUAUUAGAAUUGCUCCCCAGGAGGGGAUUUAUUACAAUUGAGGUCUUUUGGGAGGCUUUACUUUUAGGCACAUAAGGGAUUUCAGGAACUCAAGUCCUUCAGCUCAAAAUAACUUUUAUGCCAUGGUAGCUUAUUCUGAACCCCUUCAAUUAUUUGUUCUUGUAGUCUUGCUGUAGCAAUCCCAAGUCUCUUUGAGACACUGUAGAUGCUUUGGAAUAGAGGAAGAAUCAGAACAUAUGAAGAAAAGAAAUGAUUAGAAUGAUUUGUUGGUGAUGGCAAGCAUACAGAAAAGUUUCUAAAACUGAAGUAUACUAUUGAGCACGAUAACACACUCAUGUAACCCCAUAUGGGCCAAAGUAGAACAUUCAACACUCCAAAAGGCCCCAAUGUGCUCCUUCCCUUAUAACCUUCAAGUGCCUAGAGAUGGCCACAUCAUGAUUAUUACCAUAUUUACUUUCUUGUUUUUCUUUCUGGUUUUACUGCCUAAUUACUCAUCCUUAAACAAUAUUAUUUUUGAGCUCUAUGUAAAUGGAAUCACAGAGUUUUUCAUUUACAUGUCUUGAACUUUUUUGAUCAAUCUGUCUUUAAGAUUUACCCAUGUUGAUAUGGCUGUAGUUUAUUCAUUUUCAUUGCUGUAGGUUACUAUAUUGCAUUGGUGUAUCAUAAUUUAUUCUACUGCUGAUGGACAUAUAGGCUAUUUCUAGCUUUAGGCUAUUAUAAGCAAUGCUGCUGUGAAAGUUUGUGUAAACACACACACAUAUGUAUGUUCUCUUUAAGUACAUAUGUGUGUGUGUGUGUGAAUGUAUAUAUAUAUAUAUAUAUAUGUUCUAGAGCAUAUAAACACAGAUUUCUUUGGAGUCUUUACCUUGGUAUGUAAUUCCUGGUUUGUAGAGCAUGUAUAUAUUAAUAUAUUCAGUUUUACAAGAUCGUGCCAAAAUUUUCCAAAAUGAUUGUACCAAUUUAUAUAACCAACAACAAUAUACAAAAGUUUCUGUUGCACUACAUCCUCACCAACACUUGAUAUUGUCAGACAUUUUAAGUUUUAUUACUGUAAUGAAUGUGUAAUGCUGUUUUAUUGUGGCUCUAUUUUGCAUUUCCCUGAUUUUUAAUGAAGAAUAGCCCCUUUUUAUAUGAGUGUUGUCUAAUUGUUUAGGUCUUUCCCCAUUUUUCUGUUGGGUUGUUUGUAUUUUUCUUACUUUUUGUAUUAAUCUGUUAUAUAAUGUUGAAACAAGUUUUAUUGAUUAUAUGUGCUACAAAUGUUUUUCCCACUUUGUGGCUUGUACUUUCACUGUCUUAAUGUCUUUUGAUGAAACCAAGUUGUCAGUGGAGUAGAAUUCAUCACUCUUCCCUUAUGAUUAAUGAUAUCUGUAUCCUAUUUAAGAAAUAUUUUCCAACCCUAAGAUCAUUAAGACUUUUAUAUUGUCUUCUAAAAUUUUAUUGCUUUGCUUUUUAAAUUUUGGUCUAGGCAGACCUGCAAUUAAUGUUCUUACAUAUGGAGAAAGGGAGGCAUAUAUAGAUCCCCAACCCCUUCCAUGUGGAAAAUUAGACUAGCACCAUUUGUUGAAAGAUGGUCCUCUCUGCCCUACCCUGCAGUGCCAUCUUGAUCAUGAACCAAGUAGUCAUAUAAGUAUGGAGUUGUUUCUGACCUUGGUAUUCUUUCCAUUAGUCUAUUAUCUUUUUUUGUAUGUUGCUGGAUUCAAUAUACUCACAUUUUGUUUAAGAUUUCAGGGGAUCUCACAAAUAAGACUGACCUGUAAUUUUCCUUUUGGUAAUGUCUUUCUCUGAAUUUGGUAUCAAAAUAUGCUAGCUACCUUCAUUAAAUGAGUUGGGGAAUACACUUUCUUUUUCCUAUUCAGUUGUCUUUUUUACCCAUUUAUUCUUCUUGUUUUUGGAAUCAAGUUGUCAAGAACCCCCAAAACUCUAUGUGGAUUUUUAUUAAAAUUUCUGUUUGUAUAUUAAUUUCAGGGAAAACAAUAUUCUUCUAUAUGAGCCUUUCCUUUCAGUAAUCUGCAUUUAUUCAAGUGUCCUCAUAUAUGUUUUCCAAAAAUUUUAUCAUUUUCAUUAUAUAGGUCAUGUAUCUUAUAGGAGGCAGAAUUCUAAAGUCCCUCUAAGUUUUCCACCCCUAGUCAGUAAAACACUAAUCUAGGCACUGCUAAGAAUGUACAGAUGUAAUUAAAUUUAUAGAUCUUAAAGUAGGGAAAUUAUUGUAGAUAUCUGGUUGGCCCAGUCUAACCAAUUGAGCCCUCAUAAAAAGAGAAAUUUCUUCAGCUGGAGUCAGUCAGAUGUGGCAAAAAAGAAAAGCUGAGAAAAGAUGAGGCAGAAAGAUCAGAGACAUUCAAAUCAUAAAAAGGCUUGAUGCCACCACGUGGUGGCUCACACCUGUAAUCUCAGCACUUUGGGAGGCUGAGGCGGGCAGAUCGCUUGAGCUCAGGAGUUCGAGACCAGCAACAUGGUGAAACCUUGUCUCCACUGGGUAAUACGGUGAAACCCUGUCUCCACCAAAAAUACAAAAAUCAGCCGGGCGUGGUGGCACAUGCCUGUGGUCCCAGCUACUUUGGAAGCUGAGGCAGUAGGAUCUCUUGAACCCAGGAGGCAGAGGUUGCAGUGAGCUGAGAUCACACCACUGCACUCCAGCCUGGGUGACAGAGCGAGACUCCAUCUCGAAAGAAAGAAAGAAAGAAAGAAAGGCUUGGUGCAUCGUUGCUGACUUUGAAAAAAAAUGGCCAAGGAAUGCAGGUAGCUUCUAGAAGCUGAGAAUGGCUCCUGGCUGACAGAUAGCAAGCAAUGGAGAGCUCAGUCCUACAAGUGCAUGGAACUAAAUUCUGUCAACCACCUAAUGAGCAGGAAACAGAUUCUCCCUUAGAGCCUCCAGAAAGGAACAAAGUAAGUAAUACCUUGAUUGCAGCCUUGUAAAACCUAGCACAGAGAGCUAGCUGAGUCACUCUGUGCCUGGAUUUCUGACCUACAGAACUGUGAGAUAAUAAAUGAGUGUGAUUUUAAGCUGGUAAAUUAUGGUAAUACGUUAUGGGAGGAAAAGAAAACGAAUAUAUAUCUUAUCAGGCAAAAAUAUUUUGGGUAGCUCAUCAGGUAGGCCUUUAAGUAGAAUGAGUCCAUGAAGGUCACACUACUCAAAUCCUGUGGCUGAGAUUGUUUCACCUUUUAGAAUUUUGACUAAAAAUGCAUACGCUGUAUAUAUAAGGCAGAUGGUACUUGGAGCUGCUAUCAGCUACCUCCUGAAAGUGGGCUUGGUAGACAAGAUAGAUAGUACUUGGGAAAAGAAGGAAGUAAAUAGAGGAAAAACACAGCACCAAAAGCCAAGAGCAUGGAGUAAGAGCAGAAUGAGCAGCAUGGCUUCUCAGCCUCUGUUUGCUCACUUCUGAUUUGGACCCAUCCAUCACACUCUCCUGAAAUAAAUGUGUGCUAAAUGUGGUUCACAUGUUCCACUUAAAAAGAGAGAAAAUAAAGUCUAGAUCUCUGUGAAGUAACUCUGCAAAUAUUGAAUGUAUUUCGACACUGACAUUUUUCAAGUCUAACAUUAAAGAUUUCUAUUGUCAUAAAUAAUGCAUAAAUCCAGAGACCGUUUGUGUCUGAAAGGCAUGAUUUAAAAUUAGAACACAAGGUGUCCUGGCAUGUAUACCUGUCUCAAAACUCCAUGUGAGCUCAAUCUAGUUAUCAAAAAAGAGAAGAACAAUUCCUUCUUACAAUUAAAAAAAGUUCUCAUUCUGAUAAUAUAUAUAUAUUAGCUAAGUAGGUUAAAAAUAUACAUUCUUGGCUUUGUGCUCAGUAACUCCAAAAGGUGACAUUCUAAUGCUUCCUAAAAAAUAAAUGAUACACAUGACAAAUCAGGUAGCUGGUGAAACUUGAGUCUUCCCUAGAAUGCCUGUAAAGCUUACACAUAAAAUAAGGAAGAUGUAGCUUUAGCUAAUUCAGACUGAAAUUUAUUGUUAAUAGGAGUCAUAAGAGUGCAUGGUAUUUCACAAAGCAUAAAAUAUAAAAGACAGAUUUCCUGCCCUGAGGAGCUUAGUGAAACAUGUGCAGACAGUAGGUAACAGGAAAAAUAUUAAGUCAUGGUGAUUUACAAAGUGGUCACCAAUGGAAGACCGAGUACAAGAAGAUGCCUUAUAAAAAUGUCUGGUUUUUGGAAAAAGAUCUUGCAAAAGCUUGAAGAAAGAAUGAAAAAGAGAUGAGUGAAAUGAGAGUUCUAAAAAUGAUGAAAGAGGAAAAACUGAAGGGAGAGGUGGAGAAAAAGGCUCAGGCUGCUGUGAGACAUGAACCAAUAUAUGAAUUAUAGAAUAUAGGACUGAUUUGACAAACCUCUGAAAAUAGACAACCGGAAAUUCUAACUAUACAUCUCAUUUCUUAUAAAACUUAAGAGAUAGUUUUCUCAAAUAAUAGGCACUAGACCAAACUUCUUGUUCAAGCCAUAUUAUAUGUCUAUAAGAUAUGUACAUAUAAAUAAAAUUCCAUGUAGAUCUGUAUACUGCUGAAUUGUGAAUAAUUUUAAAAGUUUGAUUUUUUUGAGUUAUAGUGUGAAAGUAACUUCCCCUUAGAAGAUAUAUUCAAAAGCGCUAGUUUUCUUUAUACAUACAUAUGUUACAGAAAAUACCCAAUGCUAUAGCAAUACUGAAAUCAGAACCAAUAUUUCCCUACAAGAUAAAGACCAAAUUCCUGUACAGUAUAUUCAAGGCCUGUAUCAUCUCCAGACUCCACCUUUGUGGACCAGACUUCUCUUUAUUCCUACAAUAGGCUGUAUUCAUAAAAUUGUCUGUCCCAGUAAUUUGCCUAUUUUUAAUUGGAUCAUUUGGCUAGGCGCAGUGGUGCAUGCUUGUACUCCCAACAUUUUGGGAGGCCAAGGUAGGAGGACUGCUUGAGCCCAAGAGGCUGAGGCUGCAGUGAACCAUGAUCACUACUGUAGUCUAGCCUGGGCAACAGAACAAGAUACUGUCUCUAAAAAACAAAGUUAAAAAAAGAAAAUUGGAUCAUUUGUCUUAAUUAAAGGGUUUUGAGCAUUAUAUAUUCUGAAUACUAAUUAAUUUUUAGACAUCUAAUUUUCAAAUAUUUCUCCAGGUCUGUGGUUUGUCUGUUUGUUCAUUUAACAUUGUCUUCAAACAGUAAAAAUUUUUAAUUUUCAUGAGGGAAAUUUAUAAUUUUGGUGUCAUAUCUAAGAAAUAUUUACCUAACCCAAGAUCACAAAUAUUUUAUCCUAUGUUUUAAUCUACAGGUUUUUACCUUAAUAUUUUGCUUUUAGGUCUUAUGGUUAUUUUGAGUUGGUUUUUUAAAGGUAUGAGGUAUGGGUUAGCAUUCAUUUUCUUUGCAUAUGGAUGUCAAACUGUUUCUGCACCAUCUGUUGAAAAGACUGUCCUUUUUCCAUUGAAUUGCCUUUGCAUCUUUGUCAAAAAUCAGUUGGCUGGCCGGGCGUGGUGGCUCACGCCUGUAACCCCAGUACUUUGGGAGGCCGAGGCAGGCAGAUCACGAGGUCAGGAAAUUGAGAUCAUCUUGGCUUACAUAGUGAAACCCCGUCUCUACUAAAAAUACAAAAAA
rnacentral:lncRNA from 1 species